CGGUGAAUACGUUCCCGGGCCUUGUACACACCGCCCGUCACACCAUGGGAGUGGGUUGCAAAAGAAGURGGUAGCUUAACCUUCGGGAGGGCGCUUACCACUUUGUGAUUCAUGACUGGGGUGAAGUCGUAACAAGGUAACCGUAGGGGAACCUGCRGUUGGAUCACCUCCUUACCUUAAAGAA
rnacentral:rRNA from 1 species